CUCCUUCAUUUCAAAACCCUAGCCCCCUUAUCACUCCCCCCACUCCUUUGAAUCUCUGCAUAAACUUAAUGAACACAAACGAGAGUCACAUCACAACAUCAUCUCUCAAAACCUCUCUCCCUCUCUUGUGCAAACACCGGCGACCGGCGUUUUUCCGGCCGUCCUCCCCGGCGUCGGUUCCGGCCGACCACGCACAGGUCCUUCUCGAUCCCCUCUGGCCACGCACAACCUGUUUCACUCUCCCUCUUGAUCCUCUCCGGCUAACACACUGGCCGAGACCCGGCCGUUCGUUUUUCCAACUAAGGGUUCUCCGACGAGACACCCAAUCCGUUCUUCUUAAACCACCACAUCAAACCACCCUUUCCCCUCCAAUAACCGGCUGACCACCAUCAUAUGGUAGUGGCACACGGUGGCAGUUGCAAGAGAGAGAGAGAUCAGAGCGAGAUACGCGACGAGAGAAGAGGCGAAGCCGUUCGCGGCGGCAGCGGGGUCUCGAUAGUCCAGCGACGACAGCGGCUUGGCUCCGACAGUUUAGGUCUCGAGUUUGGGCUCCAGUUUGGAUUGUUUGGCUCCGGCUCCGGUUCGGGUUUCGCAACACAGUCUCGGUUCAGAUUCGGUUCAAUUGGUUCAGAUCCGGUUCAGUCGGUUCAGAAUCGGAUCGAUUAGUUCAGAUCCGGUUCAGUCGAGUUCAAUCGGUUAUCCCUCACUUCUGUUCUUUUAGUUGGAUUCCCGUCAAACGGUCACUGUCGGAUUAAACCUAGUCAAAGCUGGUCAGCCGAGGCCCCGGUGCAGUCUGGUUACGGGUUCGGGUCAUCGGGUUAAACACGAUACUUAGUAUUUUCACGACACAAAUAUUUCAAUUAUAUUGUAUUUAAAUUUUGUUAUCGCAAACCCGAACUUUAUAUAAUUUGUAAAUUUAGAUGGAAAAUAUAUAGAUAAUUAUAUUGUUUAGCUUGUU